rnacentral:rRNA from 1 species
GACGAACGCUGGCGGCGUGCUUAACACAUGCAAGUCGAACGGAAAGGCCCUGCUUUUGUGGGGUGCUCGAGUGGCGAACGGGUGAGUAACACGCGAGUAACAUGCCCUUGACAUUGGGAUAACUUCAGGAAAAUGGGGCUAAUACCGGAUAGGAGAUCCUGCUGCAUGGGGGGGGUUGGAAAGAUUCGGCGGUUGGGGAUGGACUCGCGGCUUAUCAGCUUGUUGGGGGGGUAGUGGCGUACCAAGGCUUUGAAGGGUAGCCGGCCUGGGAGCGUGGCCGGCCACAUUGCGCCUGCGAUACGGCCCAGUCUCCUACGGGAGGCAGCAGUGGGGAAUCUUGCACAGUGGGCGGAAGCCUGAUGCAGCAACGCCGCGUGCGUGAUGACGUCCUUCGGGUUGUAAACCGCUUUCGCCUGUGCCGAAGCGUGAGUGACGGUAAUGGGUAAAGAAGCACCGGCUAACUACGUG